rnacentral:lncRNA from 1 species
CAUUUAACAUCCUACAAUUGGGAGCAACUUAAAAUUGAUGUAUUAAUGUAACAGUUGUGACUUGUUGCCAUUACCUUAAACAGUUUAUUUUCCUUGCUUCCCUUUCACGUAUGCUCAGAUGGGAAUGUAAUAGAGUCUAUAUUCAAAUAAGACUAAGAGGGCUAUUUCAGUAAGUGUCAAAUUUAAAUUCUAUGAUAAAGCAUCAUCAUAAUCCUUACCUAUGGCAUUUUUGUGUCUCAGAUUCAAUGAAAUAUAGUACAUAACUUCUGUAUCCAUUACAGUAAAUCUAUUUAGCAUUACAAUGCAGUGUGUUUUUACUGGGAAUUCCCACUGGCCACAUUCCAGAAUAUACCUUCCUACCUUAACAUUUACUGUGCCCUCUGAUGUGGGUUUAAUGUGGACUAAUUACCAUCGCUCUUGCACAUGUUGAAUUCCCUCCAGUACAGUCCUACAGCCUGUCUGCUUCUCGUGGGAGAGUUCUGCUGGCUUAUGAUUAAUGAAAUGGAAAUAGCUGUAAUUCCCCCCCCCCAAAAGGUAUAUAUGUUUAUUUUUUUAAUUUUUUUUUUUUUUUUUGGUACUGAGGAUCGAACUUGGGUCCUUGUGCUUGCGCAGCAGGCGGCAAAACCACUGAGUUAA